ensembl:rRNA 5S_rRNA 5S ribosomal RNA
AUCUUCCGCCAUACCACUCUCAGCACACUUGAUCUCGGAAGCUAAGCAGGCCCGGGCCUAGUUAGUACUUGGAUGGGAGAAC